rnacentral:tRNA from 1 species
GCGUCGGUGGUCUAAUGGCUAUGACUGUGGCCUUCCAAGCCGCCUAUCGGGGAAAGCCAAAUUUCCAUUUGGUUUCCGAAUUUCGAAUCCCCGCCGACGCA